UGGGGAAUUUUGGACAAUGGACGCAAGUCUGAUCCAGCCAUGCCGCGUGCAGGAUGAAGGCCUUCGGGUUGUAAACUGCUUUUGUACGGAGCGAAAAGGUCUGCCCUAAUACGGUGGGCUCAUGACGGUACCGUAAGAAUAAGCACCGGCUAACUACGUGCCAGCAGCCGCGGUAAUACGUAGGGUGCGAGCGUUAAUCAGAAUUACUGGGCGUAAAGCGUGCGCAGGCGGUUAUAUAAGACAGAUGUGAAAUCCCCGGGCUCAACCUGGGACCUGCAUUAGUGACUGUAUAGCUAGAGUACGGUAGAGGGGGAUGGAAUUCCGCGUGUAGCAGUGAAAUGCGUAGAUAUGCGGAGGAACACCGAUGGCGAAGGCAAUCCCCUGGACCUGUACUGACGCUCAUGCACGAAAGCGUGGGGAGCAAACA
rnacentral:rRNA from 1 species